GCCGAAGUGGCGGAAUUGGCAGACGCGCUAGGUUCAGGUCCUAGUGUCCUUUACGGACGUGGAGGUUCAAGUCCUCUCUUCGGCA
rnacentral:tRNA from 1 species